rnacentral:rRNA from 1 species
CAUUGGUCAAAGUCGAACGGCAGCACGAGAGAGCUUGCUCUCUUGGUGGCGAGUGGCGGACGGGUGAGUAAUAUAUCGGAACGUGCCCAGUAGCGGGGGAUAACUACUCGAAAGAGUGGCUAAUACCGCAUACGCCCUACGGGGGAAAGGGGGGGAUCGCAAGACCUCUCACUAUUGGAGCGGCCGAUAUCGGAUUAGCUAGUUGGUGGGGUAAAGGCUCACCAAGGCAACGAUCCGUAGCUGGUUUGAGAGGACGACCAGCCACACUGGGACUGAGACACGGCCCAGACUCCUACGGGAGGCAGCAGUGGGGAAUUUUGGACAAUGGGGGAAACCCUGAUCCAGCCAUCCCGCGUGUAUGAUGAAGGCCUUCGGGUUGUAAAGUACUUUUGGCAGAGAAGAAAAGGCAUCCCCUAAUACGGGAUGCUGCUGACGGUAUCUGCAGAAUAAGCACCGGCUAACUACGUGCCAGCAGCCGCGGUAAUACGUAGGGUGCAAGCGUUAAUCGGAAUUACUGGGCGUAAAGCGUGUGUAGGCGGUUCGGAAAGAAAGAUGUGAAAUCCCAGGGCUCAACCUUGGAACUGCAUUUUUAACUGCCGAGCUAGAGUAUGUCAGAGGGGGGUAGAAUUCCACGUGUAGCAGUGAAAUGCGUAGAUAUGUGGAGGAAUACCGAUGGCGAAGGCAGCCCCCUGGGAUAAUACUGACGCUCAGACACGAAAGCGUGGGGAGCAGACAGGAUUAGAUACCCUGGUAGUCCACGCCCUAAACGAUGUCAACUAGCUGUUGGGGCCGUUAGGCCUUAGUAGCGCAGCUAACGCGUGAAGUUGACCGCCUGGGGAGUACGGUCGCAAGAUUAAAACUCAAAGGAAUUGACGGGGACCCGCACAAGCGGUGGAUGAUGUGGAUUAAUUCGAUGCAACGCGAAAACCUUACCUACCCUUGACAUGUCUGGAAAGCCGAAAGAUUUGGCCGUGCUCCAAGAGACCCGGAACACAGUGCU